rnacentral:rRNA from 1 species
UCAGGACGAACGCUGGCGGCGUGCCUAAUACAUGCAAGUCGAGCGGACCAAAUCGGAGCUUGCUCUGAUUUGGUCAGCGGCGGACGGGUGAGUAACACGUGGGCAACCUGCCCGCAAGACCGGGAUAACUCCGGGAAACCGGAGCUAAUACCGGAUAACACCGAAGACCGCAUGGUCUUUGGUUGAAAGGCGGCCUUUGGCUGUCACUUGCGGAUGGGCCCGCGGCGCAUUAGCUAGUUGGUGAGGUAACGGCUCACCAAGGCGACGAUGCGUAGCCGGCCUGAGAGGGUGACCGGCCACACUGGGACUGAGACACGGCCCAAACACCUACGGGAGGCAGCAGUAGGGAAUCUUCCGCAAUGGGCGAAAGCCUGACGGAGCGACGCCGCGUGAGCGAAGAAGGCCUUCGGGUCGUAAAGCUCUGUUGUGAGGGACGAAGGAGCGCCGUUCGAAGAGGGCGGCGCGGUGACGGUACCUCACGAGGAAGCCCCGGCUAACUACGUGCCAGCAGCCGCGGUAAUACGUAGGGGGCGAGCGUUGUCCGGAAUUAUUGGGCGUAAAGCGCGCGCAGGCGGCUCCUUAAGUCUGAUGUGAAAGCCCACGGCUCAACCGUGGAGGGUCAUUGGAAACUGGGGGACUUGAGUGCAGGAGAGGAGAGCGGAAUUCCACGUGUAGCGGUGAAAUGCGUAGAGAUGUGGAGGAACACCAGUGGCGAAGGCGGCUCUCUGGCCUGCAACUGACGCUGAGGCGCGAAAGCGUGGGGAGCAAACAGGAUUAGAUACCCUGGUAGUCCACGCCGUAAACGAUGAGUGCUAAGUGUUAGAGGGGUCACACCCUUUAGUGCUGCAGCUAACGCGAUAAGCACUCCGCCUGGGGAGUACGGCCGCAAGGCUGAAACUCAAAGGAAUUGACGGGGGCCCGCACAAGCGGUGGAGCAUGUGGUUUAAUUCGAAGCAACGCGAAGAACCUUACCAGGUCUUGACAUCCCCUGACAACCCAAGAGAUUGGGCGUUCCCCCUUCGGGGGGACAGGGUGACAGGUGGUGCAUGGUUGUCGUCAGCUCGUGUCGUGAGAUGUUGGGUUAAGUCCCGCAACGAGCGCAACCCUUGCCUCUAGUUGCCAGCACGAAGGUGGGCACUCUAGAGGGACUGCCGGGACAAGUCGGAGGAAGGUGGGGAUGACGUCAAAUCAUCAUGCCCCUUAUGACCUGGGCUACACACGUGCUACAAUGGGCGGCACAAAGGGCUGCGAACCCGCGAGGGGGAGCGAAUCCCAAAAGCCGCUCUCAGUUCGGAUUGCAGGCUGCAACUCCCCUGCAUGAACCGGAAUCGCUAGU